rnacentral:rRNA from 1 species
UGAGUAACACGUAUGCAAUCCACCUGUAACAGGGGGAUAACCCGGAGAAAUCCGGACUAAUACCCCAUAAUAUGGGCGCUCCGCAUGGAGAGUCCAUUAAAGAGAGCAAUCUUGGUUACAGACGAGCAUGCGCUCCAUUAGCCAGUUGGCGGGGUAACGGCCCACCAAGACGAUGAUAGGUAGGGGUUCUGAGAGGAAGGUCCCCCACAUUGGAACUGAGACACGGUCCAA